GGAUUGGUAAUAAUGAGAUUGAAUCAGGAAGGGGGUUUAAUGAAAUUGGUGCUUUAAAGCGUACAGGAGAACUCGCUGGAGUUCUCAUUUAGACUUCAUAUCUAUUUUAUUGAAGAUAUUCAAUGCAUCUUGUGUUGUUCUAAGUAAAAUGACAGAUGAAGCUGUUUCGUACUGUAACAUCACUUCCCGAUCCACCUGUUAACUCGACUGAACUGAGCCGAGAUGCUACAAUCUGGUUGAACCUAUGUCCUUUCAUGCUAAUAUCAUUAUGUAUGUUGAAUAUGAUGUCAGGCUGUUGCUUUUUACAUUAUUUUUAUAUAUAGCUAUGUACUUAAUAGUUACAAGACAGUAAACUAGUUUCCAAAAUGAAAUGGGCCCAACUAUAUGCCCUGUACAUGCCAUGAUAAGUAUAGACAAAACCAAAAUAUCAAAUUGAGUAGCUACCCUGANN
rnacentral:lncRNA from 1 species